rnacentral:rRNA from 1 species
UACGGAGGAUGCGAGCGUUAUCCGGAUUUAUUGGGUUUAAAGGGUGCGUAGGUGGCCUUGUAAGUCAGCGGUGAAAUUUUGCAGCUUAACUGUAAAAGUGCCGUUGAUACUGUGAGGCUAGGAUUUGGUUGCUGUGGGUGGAAUGUGUGGUGUAGCGGUGAAAUGCUUAGAGAUCACACAGAAUAUCGAUUGCGAAGGCAGCUCACAAAGCCAAGAUUGACGCUGAGGCACGAAAGUGUGGGGAUCAAACAGGAUUA